GGUAGGAUGGUUGAAUGAUUAGACGGGGGGCUGUAAAUCCCCAAAUGGGGGUUUGACUCCCCCUCCUAUCA
rnacentral:tRNA from 1 species